rnacentral:rRNA from 1 species
UACGAAGGGGGCUAGCGUUGUUCGGAAUCACUGGGCGUAAAGGGCGCGUAGGCGGCGCGACAAGUCAGGCGUGAAAGCCCCGGGCUCAACCCGGGAAUUGCGCUUGAUACUGUCGUGCUUGAGGCCGGGAGAGGAUGGCGGAAUUCCCGGUGUAGAGGUGAAAUUCGUAGAUAUCGGGAGGAACACCCGUAGCGAAGGCGGCACUCUGGGCCGAUACUGACACUGAGGAGCGAAAGCGUGGGGAGCGAACAGG